rnacentral:misc_RNA from 1 species
AACGCACAUUGCGCCCUUCGGUAUUCCGUUGGGCAUGCCUGUUCGAGCGUCAUUUAAUCCUUCAAGCUUUGCUUGGUGUUGGGCGUUUGUUCCGCCUCUGCGCGUGGACUCGCCUCAAAUUCAUUGGCAGCCGGUAGGUUUGGCUUCGUGCGCAGCACAUUGCGUAGCGACUCUAGCCUGCCUCCUUCCAGUAAGCUCCUCUAUUUUCUUGACCUCGGAUCAGGUAGGGAUACCCGCUGAACUUAA